GACGAACGCUGGCGGCGUGCUUAACACAUGCAAGUCGAGCGGUAAGGCCCUUUCGGGGGUACACGAGCGGCGAACGGGUGAGUAACACGUGGGUGACCUGCCCUCAGCUCUGGGAUAAGCCUGGGAAACCGGGUCUAAUACUGGAUAUGACUCCAUGACGCAUGUUGUGGGGUGAAAGCCUUGUGCGGCUGGAGGAUGGGCCCGCGGCCUAUCAGCUUGUUGGUGGGGUGAGGGCCUACCAAGGCGACGACGGGUAGCCGGCCUGAGAGGGCGACCGGCCACACUGGGACUGAGACAC
rnacentral:rRNA from 1 species